CAGUUUUUGGUGAAGACAACAAACAAGCCUUUCAAGGACCCGUCUUCCGACAGAUAAUAGAAAUGCGAGUUCGAAAGCCAAGGGCAUGAACGUGAAAUAGACAACAGCGGAAAUACAAAGACAAAAGAUCCAACUGAACACAAGAGUAGCCUGAUGUGAUGUCGUUG